GAUGAACGCUGGCGGCGUGCCUAACACAUGCAAGUCGAACGAAGCACCUGAAGAGAUUCUUCGGAUGAUCUUCUGGUGACCGAGUGGCGGACGGGUGAGUAACGCGUGGGUAACCUGCCCUGUACAGGGGGACAACAGCUAGAAAUGGCUGCUAAUACCGCAUAAGCGCACAGGAAGACAUCUUCUGGUGUGAAAAACUCCGGUGGUACAGGAUGGGCCCGCGUCUGAUUAGCUGGUUGGCGGGGUAAUGGCCCACCAAGGCGACGAUCAGUAGCCGGUCUGAGAGGAUGAACGGCCACAUUGGAACUGAGACACGGUCCAAACUCCUACGGGAGGCAGCAGUGGGGAAUAUUGCACAAUGGGGGAAACCCUGAUGCAGCAACGCCGCGUGAGUGAAGAAGUAUUUCGGUAUGUAAAGCUCUAUCAGCAGGGAAGAUAAUGACGGUACCUGACUAAGAAGCUCUGGCUAAAUACGUGCCAGCAGCCGCGGUAAUACGUAUGGAGCAAGCGUUAUCCGGAUUUACUGGGUGUAAAGGGUGCGUAGGCGGCAGAGCAAGUCAGAUGUGAAAGACCGGGGCUCAACCCCGGGGCUGCAUUUGAAACUGUUUUGCUGGAGUCCGGGAGAGGCAGGCGGAAUUCCUAGUGUAGCGGUGAAAUGCGUAGAUAUUAGGAGGAACACCAGUGGCGAAGGCGGCCUGCUGGACCGGAACUGACGCUGAGGCACGAAAGCGUGGGGAGCAAACAGGAUUAGAUACCCUGGUAGUCC
rnacentral:rRNA from 1 species